AAGAGGAGGUUGUCAGUCUGGAGUCUGAAGGCUUUUAUUCAACAAGGAGGCACUUAGAGGGAAUGCCUGGACCCUGAGAGGACUAAGACGAUAAUUGAGGCCACCCUGAAGCAGUUCCCAGGCCAGACACUCACUCCAGAUUGCUGGGCCAGGCAAUAAAUGCCAAAGUGGCAGAAUUGAGGUUCCAUAA